CAUUUGAGUUAUGCCAAACUGCAGUACAAUAUUCAUAUAUGAGCGCAGGGGAAAAGAGAGAUUUUUCUAUCAGCAAGUGAACCCAAGUCUAAACUGAUGCCAUAUCCCCAGUAGGAACAGGGCAGAGGGAAAUGAGGUUGCACUGAUUUAGCCCUGUUUAGCUUCACUUCUGCACUUGUCCCUCAAUGCUUUUUUGCAUCUGUCUAAAAACCGCAAGGAUCCACCUCAUAUAAAUACGUAUAGCUCAUUUGUUACAUGGUACUAACCCCCAAACUCAUCUGCUAAGGCUAUGCAAAUGUAACUGGCCUAAUCAAGUGCUUGAGAGCUCCUGGUGUCUGCCUGCAGUUUGUUCAGCCUUUCUCCGCCCAGACUACCCGGGGAUCUAUCAGCAGACUGGAAAUUACUGUACAAUUUCCUUUCUUCCCUUUCAAAGGUUAUAAACUGCGACUGGACUGCUUUAGUCAACUGUUGUGGACAAUUCUGUGAUUGCUUGUUAUCUCUGAGCAGGCGUGUGCUCUGCUGAAAAUAUUUUGAAAGUCAGAGAGGCUGAUUCUCAUUUCUGUUAAGGAGCACAUAUGCCAUGAGGGUGGCUGAGGAAGGUUUCAGCCUUAGCAGAUGUGAAAUUUGCAUGUGGAUGGAGCCUUUGCUUUGCACAGCCACCUGCAAGGGGCAAGAGGGGAGAGUGUUGUUUCCUUUAGUGUCUGUGUCCUCUGGCUCUGCCUGCACUGCAAAUGCAGCCAUGGAGAGGUCUCGGGACAUGUCUGUCUGUCUCUGUGAUUAUGGUAUCACAUCACCUGUGGUGCUGUCAAGUUUAAAAAAUAAGUAAUAUAUGUAUAUGUAUGUAUAUCCUGCUAAAGCUUUGUCAUGUCUACUGUCUUGAAAGCAAGCUACAGCUCUCAAGAAGUCUGUUGUUUUAAAUCUGUGAGCUACAGCUCAGCUAGCACACUUCUAAAUAAUUACUGAGGAGAAAAAAAAACUGGGAAGAGGGGAGAAGUAGUUGGUAAUGUCAGCCAUUAGGGAUAGAUCUCUUUCAUUAGGCUUUUCAAAAC
rnacentral:lncRNA from 1 species